rnacentral:rRNA from 1 species
CCUACGGGUGGCAGCAGUGGGGAAUAUUGCGCAAUGGGCGAAAGCCUGACGCAGCGACGCCGCGUGAGGGAUGAAGGUCUUCGGAUCGUAAACCUCUGUCAGCAGGGAAGAACGGUCACUGUGCUAAUCAGCAGUGAAUUGACGGUACCUGCAAAGGAAGCACCGGCUAACUCCGUGCCCGCAGCCGCGGUAAUACGGAGGGUGCGAGCGUUAAUCGGAAUUACUGGGCGUAAAGCGCUCGUAGGCGGUAUGUCAAGUCAAGGGUGAAAUCCCCGCGCUCAACGUGGGAACUGCCGUUGAAACUGGCAAACUGGAGUGUGUGAGAGGAUAGUGGAAUUCCAGGUGUAGGAGUGAAAUCCGUAGAUAUCUGGAGGAACAUCAGUGGCGAAGGCAGCCUGCUGGACUGUAACUGACGCUGAUGCUCGAAAGUGUGGGUAUCAAACAGGAUUAGAUACCCUUGUAGUC